rnacentral:rRNA from 1 species
AGAGUUUGAUCCUGGCUCAGGACGAACGCUGGCGGCGUGCUUAAAACAUGCAAGUCGAGCGGAAAGGCCACUUCGGUGGUACUCGAGCGGCGAACGGGUGAGUAACACGUGAGUAAUCUGCCCCUGGCUUUGGGAUAGCCACCGGAAACGGUGAUUAAUACCGGAUAUGACGCGCUCUCGCAUGGGGGUGUGUGGAAAGUUUUUCGGCCAGGGAUGUGCUCGCGGCCUAUCAGCUUGAUGGUGAGGUAAUGGCUCACCAUGGCUUCGACGGGUAGCCGGCCUGAGAGGGUGACCGGCCACACUGGGACUGAGACACGGCCCAGACUCCUACGGGAGGCAGCAGUGGGGAAUAUUGGACAAUGGGCGGAAGCCUGAUCCAGCAACGCCGCGUGAGGGAUGACGGCCUUCGGGUUGUAAACCUCUUUCAGUACCGACGAAGCGAAAGUGACGGUAGGUACAGAAGAAGCACCGGCCAACUACGUGCCAGCAGCCGCGGUAAUA